rnacentral:lncRNA from 1 species
CUGAUGACUUAAAACUUGAAAUAAAAUCCCUCGUUCUCCAGGUGGGCGCCUGAUGACUUAAAACAUGAAAUAAAUUCCCUCGUUCUCUAAGUGGGCGCCUGAUGACUUAAAACUUGAAAUAAAUUCCCUCAUUCUCCAGGUGGGCGCCUGAUGACUUAAAACUAGAAAUAAAAUCCCUCGUUCUCAAGGUGGGCGCCUGAUGACUUAAAACAUGAAAUAAAUUCCCUCGUUCUCCAGGCGGGCGCCUGAUGACUUAAAACUUGAAAUAAAUUCCCUCGUUCUCCAGGUGGGUGCCUGAUGACUUAAAACAUGAAAUAAAUUCCCUCGUUCCCCAGGUGGGUGUCGGAUGACUUAAAACACGAAAUAAAUUUCCCCGUUCUCCAGGUGGGCGCUUGAUGACUUAAAACUUGAAAUAAAUUCCCUUGUUCUCCAGGUGGGCGCCUGAUGACUUAAAACUUGAAAUAAAUUCCCUCAUUCUCCAGGUGGGCGCGUGAUGAUUUAAAAUUUGAAAUAAAUUCCCUUGUUCUCUAGGUGGGCGCC